rnacentral:rRNA from 1 species
GGAUUUAUACAAUUCGUGGAACAUGUGGUUUAAUUCGUAAAUACACGCAAAACCUUACCAACUUUUGAAUAGUUUUAUAUUCUAAUAAAGAAAUUUGUUAUGUUAAAAACUACAGGUGCUGCAUGGCUGUCGUCAGCUCGUGUCUUGAGAUGUUAGGUUAAGUCCAGUAACGAGCGAAACCCUUUUCUUUGUUGCAAAAGAUGUUUUAUUCAAUUGAAUCAAUUAAAUUGCAUCUUUGUACUUAAAGAGUAUUGCCUAUGAUAUAUAGGAUGAAAGAAAGGAUGACGUCAAGUCUUCAUGGCCCUUAUGAGUUGGGCUACACAUGUGUUACAACGGUAACAACAAUAAGUUGCAUAAAUGAAAAUUGAAGCAAAUCUAUAAAAGUUACCUUAGUUCGGAUUGUUUUCUGUAACUCGAAAACAUGAAGUUGGAAUGAAUAGUAA